rnacentral:rRNA from 1 species
UACGAAGGGGGCUAGCGUUGCUCGGAAUCACUGGGCGUAAAGCGCACGUAGGCGGCUUUUUAAGUCAGGGGUGAAAUCCUGGAGCUCAACUCCAGAACUGCCUUUGAUACUGAGAAGCUUGAGUCCGGAAGAGGAGAGUGGAAUUCCUGGUGUAGCGGUGAAAUGCGCAGAUAUCAGGAAGAACACCCGUGGCUAAGGCGGCUCUCUAGUACGGUACUGACGCUGAGACGCGAAAGCGUGGGGAGCGAACAGG